rnacentral:rRNA from 1 species
AAGUCUGGUGCCAGCAGCCGCGGUAAUUCCAGCUCCAAUAGCGUAUAUUAAAGUUGGUGCAGUUAAAAAGCUCGUAGUUGGAUCUCAGUUACAGGCAGGUGGUUCACUUUACAGUGAUACUACUUGAACUGAACCUAUUGCUGGAUCUCAUGGGUGCCCUUCACUGGGUGCCCAUUGAGGACAGACGUUUUACUUUGAGAAAAUUAGAGUGCUCAAAGCAGGCGAAUGCCUGAAUAGUUGUGCAUGGAAUAAUGAAAUAUGGCCUCGGUGUUGUUUUGUUGGUUCACGAUGCUCGAGGUAAUGGUUGAAAGGGACUGACGGGGGCAUUCGUAUUGCGACGUUAGAGGUGAAAUUCUUAGAUCGUCGCAAGACGGACUACUGCGAAAGCAUUUGCCAAGAAUGUCUUCAUUAAUCAAGAACGAAAGUCAGAGGUUCGAAGGCGAUCAGAUACCGCCCUAGUUCUGACCUUAAACGAUGCUAACUGGCGAUCCAGGAGGGGUAUUUAAAUGACCCUCUGGGCAGCUUCUGGGAAACCAAAGUUUUUGGGUUCCGGGGGAAGUAUGGUUGCAAAGCUGGAACUUAAAGGAAUUGACGGAAGGGCACCACCAGGAGUGGAGCCUGUGGCUUAAUUUGACUCAACACGGGAAACCUCACCAGGCCCAGACACUAGAAGGAUUGACAGAUUGAGAGCUCUUUCUUGAUUUGGUGGA